GACGAACGCUGGCGGCGUGCUUAACACAUGCAAGUCGUACGGUAAGGCCCUUUCGGGGGUACACGAGUGGCGAACGGGUGAGUAACACGUGAGUAACCUGCCCACAACUUUGGGAUAACGCUAGGAAACUGGUGCUAAUACUGGAUAUGUGCUCCUGCUGCAUGGUGGGGGUUGGAAAGCUCCGGCGGUUGUGGAUGGACUCGCGGCCUAUCAGCUUGUUGGUGGGGUAGUGGCCUACCAAGGCGGCGACGGGUAGCCGGCCUGAGAGGGUGACCGGCCACAUUGGGACUGAGAUACGGCCCAGACUCCUACGGGAGGCAGCAGUGGGGAAUAUUGCACAAUGGGCGUAAGCCUGAUGCAGCAACGCCGCGUGCGGGAUGACGGCCUUCGGGUUGUAAACCGCUUUCAGCAGGGACGAAGCUUUUUGUGACGGUACCUGCAGAAGAAGCACCGGCUAACUACGUG
rnacentral:rRNA from 1 species